UGAUCCUGUGAGGUGGUGCAUGUCCCAGUAAAAAGGAGCAGUGUUGUUCAGGAUUGGGAAUUUAUUUAAGUCCUCUUUGGUGAUACCAAUUGAAGCCGAGGUGGACUAUAGGGUUCCAUUAUCCCUGAUGAGAUUAGGGAAUAUAUCAUCAUCUAACUCCAACCUAAAUUGUCAUUUUCUGUUAUGAUGAAAUCUAUUUAGAUACCAUAUUAAUUGAAAACAUACUUGUGAUUGGAUGUAACUUUGAGAACCCUAACCAUUCAUAAUCAGUGGUAAUCCAAUCUAUUAUAAGAUCUGGGAGCAGUGUUGUUCAGGAUUGGGAAUUUAUUUAAGUCCUCUUUGGUGAUACCAAUUGAAGCCGAGGUGGACUAUAGGGUUCCAUUAUCCCUGAUGAGAUUAGGGAAUAUAACAUCAUCUAACUCCAACCUAAAUUGUCAUUUUCUGUUAUGAUGAAAUCUAUUUAGAUACCAUAUUAAUUGAAAACAUACUUGUGAUUGGAUGUAACUUUGAGAACCCUAACCAUUCAUAAUCAGUGGUAAUCCAAUCUAUUAUAAGAUCUGAUUGUUAACCCCUGAUGAAGUCCUAACGGACGAAACGCGUUGGGUUUUGCGAUUUCAGAUUCAUAAAGCCUUCACCACAAGCAUCUGGUUGGAGAUAUAUCUCUUUAAAUUUCUGAUUGUGAUCACCUGAUUGUAAACUCCUCACAUCAAUUGAAAUAUGUGUUUAUAUAAGAUUGUUACAUCAUUUUACUGAAAUUUUAGUAAUUUGUACCUAAGACGAAUGUUUAAGUUGUAAAUGUCGUCUGUUUGUGUAUGAAUAAAAGCUUUUAAACAUA